GCGAGAGCGGUGUGCCGCGACCGCAGCGCUGGAUGGCGCUGAUGGGGGCUGGAUGCGCCCACGGCUCGCCCUCUCUCCCGUUAAAUCACACGGUAGGACACGCGAUCGGACGGAGACUGGCGGCGACAGCAGCCGGGGCAAAGUAAAAGAGGAGAAGAAAGCAUCGACGGAGUCCCCACAUGGGAGCAGCAACGCUGUCUAAUCCAUGUGACAGAAUCUGCCAAAGGACGCUUUGGAAACGUUCUCAUGUCUUUAAACACAAACUGCUAAAUCCGAGGAGCUAAAAACAGAAAAACAAAAAGCCAACCGCUGGCUCAUGCAAGUGGACAGAUUUUAAAGUAAAAACACGGCUGGAGAGGGGCAGGGUUGUAUGGGUGCCAAAUCCCCGUCUAAGACACACCGCGUCUCUUCAAUCUACGGCCGCCACCUCCCUCCUCUUCCUCCGUCCAUUUUGUCCUCCUCUGCUUUUCUCUCAUUCUCCCUCGUUCUCUCUCAUGGGAGUGACAUAGAGGCCGUUGUUUGGUCUGCUGCCCCGCCCCUUCUCCGCCUUGUCGUGGAAACGGGGGCGUCCAGGUAGUGAUGUCGUGGAAGAGGAACUACUUUGCGUCGGGUGGUGGAGCAGUAGGUGGGGUGCAGGGGCUGGUGACCCCGAGAACCAUGACCUCUAUCGCACCCAGCAAAGGCUUGAGCAACGAGCCGGGACAGAACAGCUGCUUCCUCAACAGCGCCCUGCAGGUUCUUUGGCAUCUUGACAUCUUCCGCAGAAGCUUUCGACAGCUGACCACUCAUAAGUGCAUGGAGGACUCGUGCAUCUUCUGUGCUUUGAAGAGUAUCUUUGCUCAGUUCCAGUUCAGCAGUGAGCGCGUCUUGCCAUCAGAUGCACUGCGGAGCGCUCUGGCCAAGACUUUCCAGGACGAACAGCGCUUUCAGCUGGGCAUCAUGGACGACGCUGCUGAGUGCUUUGAGAACCUCCUGAUGCGAAUCCACUUCCACAUCAGCGCAGAGAGUAGAGAGGACAUCUGCACAGCAAAACACUGUAUUCCACACCAGAAGUUUGCCAUGACUCUGUUCGAACAGUGUGUGUGUAACAGCUGUGGAGCCACAUCAGACCCCCUGCCCUUCAUUCAGAUGGUUCAUUAUAUCUCCACUACAUCCCUGUGUAACCAGGCAGUGAGGAUGCUGGAGUGCAGAGAGAAACCCACGCCGGACAUGUUUGGAGAACUGCUCCGCAACGCCAGCAACAUGGGAGACCUACGCAACUGCCCCAGUAACUGUGGGGAGGUAUUGCGUAUCCGCCGGGUGCUGAUGAACUCACCGGAGAUUGUGUCCAUCGGGCUGGUGUGGGAUUCAGACCACUCUGACCUAGCAGAGGAUGUCAUACACAGCCUGGGAACCUGCUUGCGUCUGGGAGAUUUGUUCUACCGUGUGACAGAGGAGAGGGCUCGCCAGGCGGAGCUCUACUUGGUGGGCAUGGUGUGCUACUAUGGCAAGCACUACUCCACCUUCUUCUUCCAGACCAAGAUACGCAAGUGGAUGUACUUCGACGACGCCCACGUCAAAGAGAUCGGCCCUAAGUGGAAGGACGUAGUGUCUCGCUGUAUCAAAGGCCACUAUCAGCCCCUGCUGCUGCUCUACGCUGACCCCCGUGGGACGCCGGUGUUACUGCAGGAGAGCCCAAACCCCUGUACCAGCUCCAACCCGCAGCUGGAGCUCCAGCACUGCAGCAGCAAGGCUGGUUACGACAGUGAAGACUCUGGUCGGGAGCCAUCCAUAUCCAGCGAUACUCGUACGGACUCUUCGACAGACAGCUCGAGUCACCGAGGUUCUCGCAGCCGAUCCCUCCACCAGUCUACAGGCAGCCACCUCUCCAGUGAAUCCCAGACCACAGUGGUCUGUAAUUACGACACUGGCACACCGCCGCUUGGUGCUGACGCUGGAGAGUCAGCAGUGGAGGGUCCUCCCCGCCCUCCCUCUCCUCCGCUGCAGGAGUACAAGGAGACGGCUGUCUUCCUCCUCUCCUCCCGCAGGCCUCUGACCUCCUCUUCCUCUUCCUCCCGUCCUCUGUCCUCCUCCUCUUCUUCCGGAGUUGGGGGCUGUGAGGGGGGGAUUGGGGGUCCCCACUGGGAGGAUGAGAGCACUAGCAGUGAGAGCAAGUCCAGUUCUUCUGGAGGCCGCUACAGGCCAACUUGGAGGCCCAGGAGAGAAGCGCUGAACAUUGACAGCAUCUUCACCCGACAGAGAGGCUCCUCUGUGGGCUAUAACACUGUGCCUGGCCCACCUCUCCCUCCAGGGCCUCAGGACUCACUCCCUUUAGAGGGACCUGCUCCACUGCUGGGAUUGCAAGAAGUAGAAGCCAGAGAAGUUGGGGAGUUGGAGGCGGGGUUUGGGCUGGUUGGGCAGCCCAGGUCUCUGGGCAGCGGGCGGACGAUGGGUCCCCCUGCCCCUCCACCUCUGAGAGGGGUGGAGCACCAGCCACGUCUGAUUCAGAGGAUGGAGAGUGGCUACGAGAGCAGCGAGAGGAACAGCAGCAGCCCCGACAGGGAGGUGGGGCAACAAAAACGGGUGCUGAUGUCAGGUCCUUCAUGGCGUUCAGUGCCUAAGUCCAAGAGCAGCAGUGCCAUCCUGCAGGAGCUGCCCCCACCUACUUGGAGUGGUGGCACUAAUGCAGGCCCAGGGCGGAGUGAGCUAGACGAGCUUCAGGAGGAGGUAGUGAGGAGAGCCCGCCUGCAGGAGCAGCAGAAGCGAAGGGAGGCGGAGCGGGAGGCAGCCAUGGGAUUUAAUCCCAAACCCAGCAAGUUCAUGGACCUGGACCAGCUCCAACACCAGGCUGUGCUCAGACCCCUGCAUGAGGCUAACGCUCAUAGCGGAUUGGCUGUAGCUGCGUGCAUGAGGAGCACUGGGGCCCCAAUCAAACGCAGGCAGGAACAGGAAAUGGAACGGGAGACAGGAAGCGCCCGCCCACAGGGCCCACGCAGUGAACAGCCUGGCCCGGUCCAAGUACUGCUGACGCCCAAUCAGGAGGAGGAAGAGGACCAGGCAACGCCCAACAGGGAUGCUGCUCUGGGCCAAGGCCAGAACCCGCCCCCUCCGCCCUAUCGCCCCCCUCCCCCUCGACCCCCGCUCACCCUCAGCAUCGCUCACCCUUGCGCACCUUCCAGCCAAGGGGAGGAGGAGGAUGGAUGCGCGGGCAGGAGAGGGGAGGAGGGGGAGGAUGGGAGGGAGGGGACAGGGGUGAGGCUGUGUGAGUUGCUGCAGGCAGGGGGGGUGAGUGUCAGACCACUGGGGAAGCACUUAGCCAUCUCUCUGCCCUCGCUUCCUCUGCGUCUCUGGGAUACACAAGUCACACACACCUCACACUCCGCACACCUUGAACCCACUAACGCACAGCCUCCCCCACCUCCUCCCCCUCCGACCUCUAAUCCACCCCUGUCUUCCCCUCUGGAAGCCUCCGGGCAAAGGAAACCUCUCACGCCGCUCUGGCAACCACCGCGGCCCCAUUCCCCCGCGGGCGCUGCUCAGCAUUGGCCGAGGGAAGAAGCUGCUUCAGAGACACGUCAUUGGUCCUCCUGGAGUUUGGACCGCCCCGACGCAGUUGUGACGCCGUAUGAGACGCCCCCAGACCGCUGCAUUCCCAUCAGGCCGCAGGCAUCCAGUCAAAACUACAGCUACAGUUGCCAGUCCUCUCCAGGUCACUACAGCUCCCAGCAUGCCCCAGGGCGACACAGUAAUCCCUGCUGUAACCGCGAAGAGGCUGAGCUUUCUGAGCUCGAUUCCCUUUACCAGGCCAGUCUGCUGGCUGGAAAGACAGGCUGCAGCCCAUCGGAGAGGCUCAUAUCCAGGGUGGGAGGGCAGGCGCGCUCCAAGACCCCCAACGCAGACAUGGAGAGGAGUGCGUACGGGGCGGACUGCACCAGCACCCCCACCUACCUCAACAAGCCAAUGAUGUUGCGGGAUUUUGGGGUGGAGCCUGAUGAUGGGGAAAACCUGAGGAGAAUUGGACGCAGCCUGAGCGGCACAGUAGUGACCUCGCGCCGCAGCCGCCUGACUGCAACCCGCAGCUUUGUGAAGCAGGCUGAUGUCAGUGCCUCUCCUUGCUUACUUCCUCUCUUCUGAGUCCCUGUUGCUAUUCCACCACUAUCAUCUCCUUCAUCCUCCUCAUCACCAACACCUUCUCAUCACCACCUCCCUCCACUGCUUCACAGGAGCUGUCGGACAGUUCAGGGAGUUUCUGGCUGUGUCUGACGGGGGUCAAGCUUUCCUCAGACCAUGGUCCUUCAGUGCUUCACUAAUAUCUUACCGCAACCCGUCCACAUGGGUCCACAACCGCUUCACCUUGACGGACCUGGAAUCGGCUCAGGAGGAUCGACUCAGCUCCUAUCCUGUUCCUCCUCCUUCUCCUUCAAACGACAUGCACACGCAAACACAUGCACGCACACAUGCACAUCUGCACUGACGUAGAGCCUCCCUCAGCGCCUGCAGCACCCUGCUUUAGCCCCUUCUUGCCUUCCUCCCUUCCUCCUCCCCCUACUAUUCUGUCUAUGCAGUCACUCUGACCCCCAACUACAACCUCAACCUUUCCCCCUACUUUCCGGGACUGUUUCUCGUCUCCCCCUGGGGUUUUCAGAGGGUUUCCAGGUGAGCUUGCUGCUUUUAGCAGUCGCUCACCAGCCGCAUCCAACCAGGACUAGAGCUCUCAGUAGACUCGCCCUCCAACCCACAGGACCUUUAGCUCAGGGGGGGACUCUAACCAAGUAGCCACGCCUCUUCCUCUCUCUUCACGGGCAUUUCUUGUUGGACGCACACGUAGCUGAACUAGGUCUGUUUCAGAUGGACAGCCAUAUUUUUUUCUCUUUUUGUUUUUGGGUUUGUUUUUCUUCCUGUGUGUGCGCACAGUUAAUCUGCCGAGACUGAACUCUCUAAUAACUAAGUCGUGUACAGAAAACUCACAUAUGAAACCUGUAUGUUAAUUAAUAAGACCUUAUGGAAUGUUGAUAAUGAUAAUUAACAAAUAUUGAUAAACUUAAAGUGAUACUUCCUCAUGUCUGCAUUUCAAAUAGGAGUGGAGUGCACUUCACAAGUGUCUAGCUGGAGUUUCUGCCCCCAAACCGCUCGCCGACCUAAUGACAGCUCUCCCGUUUCUACCGGGAGCUUGAACAAGAAAAGCGCUUCCUUUUUUCUCUGCUUCUUUCCCUCUUCUUUUUUUUCUGCUCUUCUUUUCUUGCUCUCUUAUAUUCUCGCUUGCUUUCUUUGUUCCAAACAGGAAACAGUAGCACCAGAAAUAGGCCAGCAGCGGAGGAAAGUCUAGAAGGAAUGAGAGAAUGUAGGUUAGGAAACCCUUCUCUUAGGCUUUUAACAAUGAAAACAGAUGACUCAAGUGCACUUUGCAAGGUGACUCGGCAGAAGUGCACUUUCUGAAGGCUAUUUGAACGUGGAGCAGCUGGAGAGAAGUCGAUGCCGUUUGUUUUCACUCCAAGGCCUCAGGUGAACUUCAGUGACACUCAUGAAUUCACACUUUAUUAUUCCCCUCCCUCCUCCCACUGAAACUGGUUUUGAGACCUCAGAUGUGUUCAGAAAAAUGCUCAUCUUCAACCUGAGACAGUGACAUGUCUAAUAUGAACAUGCUUUAUACGAUAGAUAUGUAUUAGAGGUAUAUUUUCAGCCAGUGAGCUAUCAGAGAUGUCAACCAUUCCUCAGUUGUAUGAACAGUUAUAAUGACUUAAUUCACUCUUCCCUUUAUUGGGUAGCAUUCUGACGUGUGUAGAGUACUUUUAUUAUAUGCUUUAUUCUGUUAAAUAUCAUAUAAAUUAACAAAGUCCUUAUUAAACAAAAGGCCAAUGUAAUGUUCUUUAAUAAUUCACUGAUGUUGAUUGAACGUUGUAACUAAACCAAAGGAUGGCACCUAACUCAGAGAGUUUAAGUAAGAAUUUAUUUUUCCAUUUAGGUUCAGAUUUUGUGGUUGUAUUUUUGGUUUUUUUCUUCGUUUUUUUGUUUUUGGAUUUUUUUGUUGUUGUUUUUUUGGAUGUGGGAGAAUGUAGCCAAUUGUAGCGCAUGAGUCCGCUAUGCAAAUCAACCUUCCCUCACAGUCCUUUACUGGAGACAGUCAGGAGGCAGACACGCCCACCCCUCACGGGUGCUCUCAUGGACUCUGGCAGAGACACGGAGAGGAGGAAGAGAAGAUCUCAUGUUUAUUGCUGCUGGUGAAAUUUGUUGUUCUGCAUCUACUGCUAUGUUUCAACCAAUGGAAUGCAAAAAGAGAGCAACGAGGACGCAGAGAGCAAGAGGGAGAAAGAGCGAAUGAAUGUAAACUACAGGAUGAAAGUGUGUGUUUGCGUUAGAGGAGGGUGGGAAGCUAACUGACAAAGAUGGUUAUUUGUGGGUGUGUGUAGACUUUAUGUGUCAGUUCUGGGGUGGUGUUGCUCGGGGAAAGAGGGAACCUGUAUUUUUGCAAUAAAGUUAUUAACAAUGCACUCCCAAAGGGGGCGUAAC